rnacentral:misc_RNA from 1 species
UCGUAACAAGGUCUCCGUAGGUGAACCUGCGGAGGGAUCAUUACACAAUAACAAGGCGGGCUGGACACCCCCCGCUGGGCACUGCUUCACGGCGUGCGCGGCGGGGCCGGCCCUGCUGAAUUAUUCACCCGUGUCUUUUGCGUACUUCUUGUUUCCUGGGUGGGCUCGCCCGCCCUCAGGACCAACCACAAACCUUUUGCAAUAGCAAUCAGCGUCAGUAACAACGUAAUUAAUUACAACUUUCAACAACGGAUCUCUUGGUUCUGGCAUCGAUGAAGAACGCAGCGAAAUGCGAUACGUAGUGUGAAUUGCAGAAUUCAGUGAAUCAUCGAAUCUUUGAACGCACAUUGCGCCCUUUGGUAUUCCAAAGGGCAUGCCUGUUCGAGCGUCAUUUGUACCCUCAAGCUUUGCUUGGUGUUGGGCGUCUUUUGUCUCCAGUUCGCUGGAGACUCGCCUUAAAGUCAUUGGCAGCCGGCCUACUGGUUUCGGAGCGCAGCACAAGUCGCGCUCUUUGCCAGCCAAGGUCAGCGUCCAGCAAGCCUUUUUUUCAACCUUUGACCUCGGAUCAGGUAGGGAUACCCGCUGAACUUAAGCAUAUCAAUAA